rnacentral:rRNA from 1 species
UACGUAGGGUGCAAGCGUUGUCCGGAAUUAUUGGGCGUAAAGGGCUCGUAGGCGGUUUGUCGCGUCGGGGAGUGAAAACACCAGGCUUAACUUGGUGCUUGCUUUCGAUACGGGGCAGACUUGAGGCAUGCAGGGGGAGAACGGAAUUCCCGGUGUAGCGGUGAAAUGCGCAGAUAUCAGGAGGAACACCGGUGGCGAAGGCGGUUCUCUGGGCAUGUUCUGACGCUGAGGAGCGAAAGUGUGGGGAGCGAACAGG